AGUGAACGCUGGCGACAGGCCUAAUACAUGCAAGUCGAACGGCAGCACAGCAGAGCUUGCUCUGUGGGUGGCGAGUGGCGGACGGGUGAGGAAUACAUGGGAAUCUGCCCAGUCGUGGGGGAUAACGUAGGGAAACUUACGCUAAUACCGCAUGCGCCCUUCGGGGGAAAGCCGGGGACCUUCGGGCCUGGCGCGAUUGGAUGAGCCCAUGUCGGAUUAGCUAGUUGGCGGGGUAAAGGCCCACCAAGGCGACGAUCCGUAGCUGGUCUGAGAGGAUGAUCAGCCACACUGGAACUGAGACACGGUCCAGACUCCUACGGGAGGCAGCAGUAGGGAAUAUUGGACAAUGGGCGCAAGCCUGAUCCAGCCAUGCCGCGUGAGUGAAGAAGGCCUUCGGGUUGUAAAGCUCUUUUGUCCGGAAAGAAAAGCAUCCAGUUAAUACCUGGGUGUCCUGACGGUACCGGAAGAAUAAGCACCGGCUAACUUCGUGCCAGCAGCCGCGGUAAUAC
rnacentral:rRNA from 1 species